rnacentral:lncRNA from 1 species
UCUUUCUUGACAAGUCUGAAAGGUACAUCUUGCUUUUAUCACAUGUUAUGCUUGUGAAAACUUUUAGGUAUGUUUUAUAGAACUUAUAGGUCUAUCUGGUAAGUUUUUGACCAUUUGUUUUACUUUUAUAAGAAUAUGAUGAGUUAUGAUAUAGAUUGGUACAGCACAAGUAUGAUAAAGGCUGUUGAAUAGCCAAAUUAUAUUAAGAGAAUAAUAAUGAAGUUAACUGAAAAUGUAGCCCUAACAAUGUUUAAAUAGUAUGAAAUAGGGCAAAAACCCUACUUAGACAAUAAGUACUGAAAUUACUUAAAAACCCCUAAGUUCAUAAAACUCAGAAAAAUUCAGAAGACCCAAAUCACUCUUUCCCGUGUGUUUUCUGGCCCCAAACAACACGUGUCAGGCUGAAGGCGAUGAUUCCUAUAGAUUUUGUCGAUAGUUUCGAUUUGAUACAUUAUGGGCCUGUAAUUUCUAAUGGCACCAACUGGGUCAUACACGGCCUUCGCGGACUUGGCUUCUUUUUUGGAUUCAACCGCUAAUUCUAACACUAGACUCGAACCUAUAACCUGUAAGCUUCAACUUGAAUUGAAAACUACUACUAAGCAGCCAGUAUGAAAACUAGAAAACUAGCAUCUAUAUGUCUCUCAAGCCUGGUUUUGGGGUUCUGUUCUUUUUCAUUUUACGCUAAGAAAAAGAAAAAAGAUCACAUAUUCAUUUAUGAAUACUGGUUUAAGAACAUUUACUUUGACAAUGUCAAAGCCCUCUUAACUUUCCAAUUAAAAUGGUAGAACUUGAGUGCCUUGAAAGGCAUAGGUUAUGGUUUCGAUACUCCAGAGAUGCAUUGAUCUCCUUUGGACCACUCAAACUGACAUAGUUUACCCGGUGCGUGUAAUCUGUGGGGGUAUUGCGUAUAGCGGUGGUUUAUCCAUGCACACCCAAAGGUAGUACGACAGGUUUCAUCGUCACCAAAAAUAAAAAGAAUAUAUAUAUAUAUAUAUAUAUAUAUAUAUAUAUAUAUAUAUAUAUAUAUAUAUAUAAUUAAUAGAGCUGUCAGCAAGUUUGCUUAAGAAUACAGAAUAUAGCUAGUACUAAAGUGUGUCAUCAACCAUCACUCUCAAUAUUUUAUUCCAUUUUGACAUCAAGGUCUUAGCAGACCUUGUGAAUUAGAGUAGAAUAUUUGUCUUUUCAAUUUGGAUUAUGUGUACCUUGUGGCACCAAUAUGGGGUUUGUUUGUCUCCUAGUAGUUGUCUCAAAUGCAUACUUGGCAUAAAAGUGACACUAGGGUAGCCCUUCUGUCUCUGGUAAAGGGCACAUAAUGACAGUCACUUGGCCAUGUCAAUCAUAUGCAUUUUCGGAUAGCUUUGUUGGAUAAUAAAAUUGACGAUACCGAUUGUAAUUAUACAAUGGAUUGAUGACAAUCUUGAUUAUACGUCGUAAUUGAUUCUCAACCACGUUAUAUUUGAUAUAAGACCUAUAAUCUUCUUAGUCUGGGUUAGCCAUUGAUGGCGAUUGAACACCUCAGGAUAGAUAUAACGUUUGCAGUUCAUUCAUAUUCAGAAGGGUAAAAAUAUUGGACAGAUUGCUAUUCACCCACCAAAGCAAACAGUUGGAGUUAUGCCCAGUGCAUAAUUAUGUGAAAUCCACAACCAUAUCAUUUAUUUUCUUUUAGGAUUUAAAUUCAAUUUUCAGAAACACUAAGAAAUAGGGAGGAGAAAAUAACAACUACAUAAUAUUGAUUUACUUUAUUCUCCUUUGAACCAUAUUAAUUUUUAGAAUAGAACAACACAAGACCAUACAACUUCAACAUUUAGACAUAAUUCAAGAAGAAAAAUUUCCUAAUCACGUUGUCAGAAUCUGAAGGGUGCCCUUUGAAAGCUGUAUGUACCUCUUUUUCUUUAUCCUUGAAUUUCAUGAUGUUGGGAUUUCACAUGAAUCCCACAUCGGUUAAAUUCAAGAGUGUAGAUGGCUUAAUAAGUAUGGUAGAACAUCAACCUAAUAGGUUAACCUUUUAGGUAAGGAGGUGGUCCAACAUACUUAUUGGGCUCGUCUACACAGGUGUGCGCUGCUAAGGUGAUGAAUAGAUGUGGGAUGGAUCGUUCAAUUCCGCUACACAUGACAAAUGUCAUUUGAUUGUUGCAGGCAUCUUGCACGGAUUGCAAACUAAAUUUUUAUGAAUAACCAUGUAUUUUGGACCAAAUCAACAAAUCUUGAUGGAGGUUUCCUACGUGAUCAAACCAGGUUGGUGCUUACACGUAGACCUUACUUAAAUGAUUUAGCUGCUAAAUAUUUAUUGAUACUUUAUCAGGAGAUUCAUCUCUGUGCACAUGCAAGUAGCCACAUGUUUCCCCUAG